AGAUGGUUGGUUAAGUCCCGCAACGAGCGCAACCCUUGCCUUUAGUUGCCAGCAGUUCGGCGUGGGCACUCUAAAGGGACUGCCGGUGUUAAACCGGAGGAAGGUGGGAGUGACGUCAAGUCCUCAUGGCCUUUAUGACCAGGGCUACACACGUACUACAAUGGCCGAUACAAAGGGCAGCGACACUGCGAGGUGAAGCCAAUCCCGUAAAAUCGGUCUCAGUCCGGAUUGGAGUCUGCAACUCGACUCCAUGAAGUUGGAAUCGCUAGUAAUCGUGGAUCAGCAUGCCACGGUGAAUACGUUCCCGGGCCUU
rnacentral:rRNA from 1 species